rnacentral:rRNA from 1 species
CGUCCGAUCACCGAAGUUAAGCAACGUCGAGCCCGGUUAGUACUUGGAUGGGUGACCGCCUGGGAAUACCGGGUGUUGUAGGCUU